CCCGCGUAAAGAUAAAAAUUAGAUUUUUAUUUUUACUUGUAUCUUAAUAUUAUACAUAUGAUGAUGCCUGGGUUAUGUUGAGAUAUGAUCUCUAUAUACAUGCUUGAUUACAUAAGAUUGCCUUAACAUAACGAGGGUCAUUAUGUUGUAUAGUUAUCCUAGAAUGAUAUUGAAAGGUUUUCAAAAUAUCCUUCCGCUAUGUGUUUAAAAUUUUUAAAAUCUCUACAUAUAUAUCGGAUCAUCAUCUGAUGGCAUUUUCUAAUAGUAGUAUC
rnacentral:lncRNA from 1 species